rnacentral:rRNA from 1 species
UACCUGCAGCUCAAGUGGUAACCGCUAUUAUUGGGCCUAAAGCGUCCGUAGCCGGUUUGGUAAAUAUCUGGGUAAAUCGUGAGGCUUAACUUCACGAAUUUCGGAUAGACUGCCAGACUUGGGAUAGGGGGAGGUCAGAGGUACUCCAGGGGUAGCGGUGAAAUGUUGUAAUCCUUGGAGGACCACCGGUAGCGAAGGCGUCUGACUAGAACGAGUCCGACGGUGAGGGACGAAGCCCUGGGGCGCAAACCGGAUUAGAUACCCGGGUAGUCCAGGGUGUAAACGAUGUGGGCUUUGUAUUGGAGGUCCCACGUGGGCGUCCAGUGCAGAAGAGAAGUUGUUAAGCCCACCGCCUGGGAAGUACGGUCGCAAGGCUGAAACUUAAAGGAAUUGGCGGGGGAGCACAGCAACGGGAGGAGCGUGCGGUUU